UACAGAGGGUGCAAGCGUUGCUCGGAAUCAUUGGGCGUAAAGGGCAGGUAGGUGGUCUGAUUUGUCUGGAGGUGAAAGCCUUGGGCUUAACCCAAGAAGUGCCCCGGAAACGGUCAGACUUUUGAGUCUUGGAGAGGGUUGCGGAAUUCCCGGUGUAGAGGUGAAAUUCGUAGAUAUUCGCAAGAACACCAGUGGCGAAGGCGGCUCACUGGCCCGAUACUGACGCUGAGGUGCGAAAGCGUGGGGAGCAAACAGG
rnacentral:rRNA from 1 species